GUCCACGCCCUAAACGAUGUCAACUGGUUGUUGGGAAGGUUCCUUCUCAGUAACGUAGCUAACGCGUGAAGUUGACCGCCUGGGGAGUACGGCCGCAAGGUUGAAACUCAAAGGAAUUGACGGGGACCCACACAAGCGGUGGAUGAUGUGGUUUAAUUCGAUGCAACGCGAAAAACCUUACCUACCCUUGACAUGCCCGGAAUCCUGCAGAGAUGUGGGAGUGCCCGAAAGGGAGCCGGGACACAGGUGCUGCAUGGCCGUCGU
rnacentral:rRNA from 1 species